AGAGUUUGAUCCUGGCUCAGGAUGAACGCUGGCGGCGUGCCUAAUACAUGCAAGUCGAACGAAACUUCUUUAUCACCGAGUGCUUGCACUCACCGAUAAAGAGUUGAGUGGCGAACGGGUGAGUAACACGUGGGCAACCUGCCCAAAAGAGGGGGAUAACACUUGGAAACAGGUGCUAAUACCGCAUAACCAUAGUUACCGCAUGGUAACUAUGUAAAAGGUGGCUAUGCUACCGCUUUUGGAUGGGCCCGCGGCGCAUUAGCUAGUUGGUGAGGUAAAGGCUUACCAAGGCAAUGAUGCGUAGCCGAACUGAGAGGUUGAUCGGCCACAUUGGGACUGAGACACGGCCCAAACUCCUACGGGAGGCAGCAGUAGGGAAUCUUCCACAAUGGGCGAAAGCCUGAUGGAGCAACGCCGCGUGGGUGAAGAAGGUCUUCGGAUCGUAAAACCCUGUUGUUAGAGAAGAAAGUGCGUGAGAGUAACUGUUCACGUUUCGACGGUAUCUAACCAGAAAGCCACGGCUAACUACGUGCCAGCAGCCGCGGUAAUACGGAAGGUCCAGGCGUUAUCCGGAUUUAUUGGGUUUAAAGGGAGCGCAGGCGGACUCUUAAGUCAGUUGUGAAAUACGGCGGCUCAACCGUCGGACUGCAGUUGAUACUGGGAGUCUUGAGUGCACACAGGGAUGCUGGAAUUCAUGGUGUAGCGGUGAAAUGCUCAGAUAUCAUGAAGAACUCCGAUCGCGAAGGCAGGUAUCCGGGGUGCAACUGACGCUGAGGCUCGAAAGUGCGGGUAUCAAACAGGAUUAGAUACCCUGGUAGUCCACGCCGUAAACGAUGAAUGCUAAGUGUUGGAGGGUUUCCGCCCUUCAGUGCUGCAGCUAACGCAAUAAGCAUUCCGCCUGGGGAGUACGACCGCAAGGUUGAAACUCAAAGGAAUUGACGGGGGCCCGCACAAGCGGAGGAACAUGUGGUUUAAUUCGAUGAUACGCGAGGAACCUUACCCGGGCUUGAAUUGCAGAGGAAGGAUUUGGAGACAAUGACGCCCUUCGGGGCCUCUGUGA
rnacentral:rRNA from 1 species